CCUACGGGAGGCAGCAGUGGGGAAUAUUGCACAAUGGGCGCAAGCCUGAUGCAGCGACGCCGCGUGCGGGAUGACGGCCUUCGGGUUGUAAACCGCUUUUGAUCGGGAGCAAGCCUUCGGGUGAGUGUACCUUUCGAAUAAGCACCGGCUAACUACGUGCCAGCAGCCGCGGUAAUACGUAGGGUGCAAGCGUUAUCCGGAAUUAUUGGGCGUAAAGGGCUCGUAGGCGGUUCGUCGCGUCCGGUGUGAAAGUCCAUCGCUUAACGGUGGAUCUGCGCCGGGUACGGGCGGGCUGGAGUGCGGUAGGGGAGACUGGAAUUCCCGGUGUAACGGUGGAAUGUGUAGAUAUCGGGAAGAACACCAAUGGCGAAGGCAGGUCUCUGGGCCGUUACUGACGCUGAGGAGCGAAAGCGUGGGGAGCGAACAGGAUUAGAUACCCUGGUAGUCCACGCCGUAAACGGUGGAUGCUGGAUGUGGGGCCCGUUCCACGGGUUCCGUGUCGGAGCUAACGCGUUAAGCAUCCCGCCUGGGGAGUACGGCCGCAAGGCUAAAACUCAAAGAAAUUGACGGGGGCCCGCACAAGCGGCGGAGCAUGCGGAUUAAUUCGAUGCAACGCGAAGAACCUUACCUGGGCUUGACAUGUUCCCGACAGCCGUAGAGAUGCGGCCUCCCUUCGGGGCGGGUUCACAGGUGGUGCAUGGUCGUCGUCAGCUCGUGUCGUGAGAUGUUGGGUUAAGUCCCGCAACGAGCGCAACCCUCGCCCUGUGUUGCCAGCACGUCAUGGUGGGAACUCACGGGGGACCGCCGGGGUCAACUCGGAGGAAGGUGGGGAUGACGUCAGAUCAUCAUGCCCCUUACGUCCAGGGCUUCACGCAUGCUACAAUGGCCGGUACAACGGGAUGCGACAUGGCGACAUGGAGCGGAUCCCUGAAAACCGGUCUCAGUUCGGAUUGGAGUCUGCAACCCGACUCCAUGAAGGCGGAGUCGCUAGUAAUCGCGGAUCAGCAACGCCGCGGUGAAUGCGUUCCCGGGCCUUGUACACACCGCCCGUCAAGUCAUGAAAGUGGGUAGCACCCGAAGCCGGUGGCCUAACCCCUUGUGGGAUGGAGCCGUCUAAGGUGAGACUCGUGAUUGGGACUAAGUCGUAACAAGGUAGCCGUACCGGAAGGUGCGGCUG
rnacentral:rRNA from 1 species